AUUGAACGCUGGCGGCAGGCCUAACACAUGCAAGUCGAACGGCAGCACAGAAGAGCUUGCUCUUUGGGUGGCGAGUGGCGGACGGGUGAGUAAUGUCUGGGAAACUGCCCGAUGGAGGGGGAUAACUACUGGAAACGGUAGCUAAUACCGCAUAACGUCGCAAGACCAAAGUGGGGGACCUUCGGGCCUCACACCAUCGGAUGUGCCCAGAUGGGAUUAGCUAGUAGGUGGGGUAAUGGCUCACCUAGGCGACGAUCCCUAGCUGGUCUGAGAGGAUGACCAGCCACACUGGAACUGAGACACGGUCCAGACUCCUACGGGAGGCAGCAGUGGGGAAUAUUGCACAAUGGGCGCAAGCCUGAUGCAGCCAUGCCGCGUGUAUGAAGAAGGCCUUCGGGUUGUAAAGUACUUUCAGCGGGGAGGAAGGCGGUGAGGUUAAUAACUUCACCGAUUGACGUUACCCGCAGAAGAAGCACCGGCUAACUCCGUGCCAGCAGCCGCCGUAA
rnacentral:rRNA from 1 species